rnacentral:lncRNA from 1 species
AUGGUCCCCUCGGUACCUGGGGUCAAGCAGUGUUGCUUUACUCAUCAUCCUCUGGAUGGUGUCAUCACCAUAUCUGCCUUCCAUCUGCUCCAGAAUGACACGCUUCAGGUCGGCUGCGCUUCAGUUUACAGAUGUUCAUUUCCCCCAGAUGAUGCAGGCACGAUGUGGACCAAUCAAGAUACAUCAUCAUUUUGAGUUUCUCCAAAUCGGACCAGUGGGGUAGCAUUUCUGGCCUUUUUCAAUUCUAACCUUUAAUUAAGGCACCCCCUGCUAUGCCAAUCAGUGGAAUGUCUGAAACGUCAGAGCUCUGGACCAAAAUAUACCAUCACUCCUGGUUUUGACAAAAUCGAAGCAGCAGCCUGAGAUCACAUUUGCGUUAACACUGACAUUUAAUCAGAGCGCCCUCAUUAGGUCAAUCAGUGCAGUUUUUAGUUUAUGUCAACCACUUUCAUUAGACUAAUGAGUGUUGUUUAUUUUUUUGUUUUUUGGCAUUUCCACUUUAUUUAAUCAUGAUAGUAGAGAGGGACAGGAAAGGCAGGUGAGAGAGAGAGGGGAUGACAUGCAGCAAAGGCCAGGGCUGGACUCAAACCCAGGCUGCUGUGGGAAGGACUCAGCCUAGAUUCGAUGCUCUACCAGGUGAGCUUAUUAUAUAAGUACAAAUAGUCUGCUUGGAACAAUAAUGUGUAUCUGAUAUGUUAUUUCAACAAUGAAAGUAUAAUUUCCAAAUUAAAAUCUGCUGUACAAGUUUGCAUUAACAAGACAGUUGAGAUGUGAGGGAGAUUCUAAAGUUUAGAAAGAUUUGACUGAAUUUGGCGAGAAUUGUGCUAUAGCUAUCUAAAAUAUUUCCAUUUGAGGGAGGUGCAGUAAAAAAACAGAUAAUACUCUGAGACAGUAUGGAAUAAGUUGAUUUUAAUAACCUUACAACUACUUAAAUAUGAAAAAAGUGUAUGUUGAGGGUUUAAAGAGAGUCGGCCGACCUAUUAAUCACAAUGAGGGCAAAAUUAAUCUGCUAUAAGG